AUAGAGUCAAGUGAAUAAGUGCAUCAGGUGGAUGCCUUGGCGAUGAUAGGCGACGAAGGACGUGUAAGCCUGCGAAAAGCAUCGGGGAGCUGGCAAUAGAGCUAUGAUCCGGUGAUGUCCGAAUGGGGAAACCCACCGUAUUUUGUACGGUAUCCUUAUCCGAAUCCAUAGGGUAAGCGAAGCGAACCCGGAGAACUGAACCAUCUCAGUACCCGGAGGAAAAGAAAUCAACCGAGAUUCCGCAAGUAGUGGCGAGCGAACGUGGAGGAGCCUGUAUACGAUAGCUGUUGAGAUAGAAGAAGGAAAUGGAAAGUUCCGCCAUAGUGGGUGAUAGCCCCGUAUUCGAAAUCUCGGUAGUGGUACUAGGUAUACGACAAGUAGGGCGGGACACGAGAAAUCCUGUCUGAAGAUGGGGGGACCAUCCUCCAAGGCUAAAUACUCAUCAUCGACCGAUAGUGAACCAGUACCGUGAGGGAAAGGCGAAAAGAACCCCGGGAGGGGAGUGAAAUAGAACCUGAAACCUGAUGCAUACAAACAGUGGGAGCCCCAGAUUUAAGUAUCUUGGUUCUUUCAGCGAGCGAGCAGCGAGCUAAAAGCAGACUAAGGAGUGAAACUGGCAGAUUUAAGCAAGAUAGCAGGAUGCUUAAAUCUGGGGUGACUGCGUACCUUUUGUAUAAUGGGUCAACGACUUACGUUCAGUAGCGAGCUUAACCGGAUAGGGGAGGCGUAGGGAAACCGAGUCUUAAUAGGGCGACGAGUUGCUGGGCGUAGACCCGAAACCGAGUGAUCUAUCCAUGGCCAGGUUGAAGGUGCCGUAACAGGUACUGGAGGACCGAACCCACGCAUGUUGCAAAAUGCGGGGAUGAGCUGUGGAUAGGGGUGAAAGGCUAAACAAACUCGGAGAUAGCUGGUUCUCCCCGAAAACUAUUUAGGUAGUGCCUCAUGUAUCACUUCCGGGGGUAAAGCACUGUUAUGGCUAGGGGGUCAUUGCGACUUACCAACCCAUGGCAAACUCAGAAUACUGGAAAGUGUGAGCAUGGGAGACAGACAGCGGGUGCUAACGUCCGUUGUCGAAAGGGAAACAACCCAGACCGCCAGCUAAGGUCCCAAAUGAUAGAUUAAGUGGUAAACGAAGUGGGAAGGCUUAGACAGCCAGGAUGUUGGCUUAGAAGCAGCCAUCAUUUAAAGAAAGCGUAAUAGCUCACUGGUCGAGUCAUCCUGCGCGGAAGAUGUAACGGGGCUCAAAUCUAUAACCGAAGCUGCGGAUGCACGCUUCAUUAAAACAGCUUACCGGAGCGAAGCGACGGAAAGCGCCCAUCAAAGUCGAGCGUGACGGAUGGUGGAAGCAGAGUUGUUUUAAUGAAGCGUGCAUGGUAGGGGAGCGUUCUGUAGGCCUGAGAAGGCGUAUCGUAAGGUAUGCUGGAGGUAUCAGAAGUGCGAAUGUUGACAUGAGUAGCGAUAAAGCGGGUGAAAAGCCCGCUCGCCGAAAGCCCAAGGUUUCCUGCGCAACGUUCAUCGGCGCAGGGUGAGUCGGCCCCUAAGGCGAGGCAGAGAUGCGUAGUCGAUGGGAAACGGGUUAAUAUUCCCGUACUUGAUUUAAGUGCGACGUGGGGACGGAGAAGGUUAGGUCAGCAAACUGUUGGAAUAGUUUGUUCAAGCCGGUAGGUGGAAGGACUAGGCAAAUCCGGUUCUUCGAAACACCGAGAAGCGAUAACGAGCAUCUACGGAUGCGAAGUGACCGAUACCACGCUUCCAGGAAAAGCCACUAAGCUUCAGCUUAAAUCGAACCGUACCGCAAACCGACACAGGUGGGCAGGAUGAGAAUUCUAAGGCGCUUGAGAGAACUCGGGAGAAGGAACUCGGCAAAUUGAUACCGUAACUUCGGGAGAAGGUAUGCCCUUCGACGUUAAGCCUUCGCGGCGUAAGCGUUGGAGGGUCGCAGAGAAUCGGUGGCUGCGACUGUUUAUUAAAAACACAGCACUCUGCAAACACGAAAGUGGACGUAUAGGGUGUGACGCCUGCCCGGUGCUGGAAGGUUAAUUGAAGAUGUGAGAGCAUCGGAUCGAAGCCCCAGUAAACGGCGGCCGUAACUAUAACGGUCCUAAGGUAGCGAAAUUCCUUGUCGGGUAAGUUCCGACCCGCACGAAUGGCGUAACGAUGGCCACACUGUCUCCUCCCGAGACUCAGCGAAGUUGAAGUGGUUGUGAAGAUGCAAUCUACCCGCUGCUAGACGGAAAGACCCCGUGAACCUUUACUGUAGCUUUGCAUUGGACUUUGAAGUCACUUGUGUAGGAUAGGUGGGAGGCUUAGAAGCAGAGACGCCAGUUUCUGUGGAGCCGUCCUUGAAAUACCACCCUGGUGACUUUGAGGUUCUAACCCAGGUCCGUGAUCCGGAUCGGGGACCGUGCAUGGUAGGCAGUUUGACUGGGGCGGUCUCCUCCCAAAGAGUAACGGAGGAGUUCGAAGGUUACCUAGGUCCGGUCGGAAAUCGGACUGAUAGUGCAAUGGCAAAAGGUAGCUUAACUGCGAGACCGACAAGUCGAGCAGGUGCGAAAGCAGGACAUAGUGAUCCGGUGGUUCUGAAUGGAAGGGCCAUCGCUCAACGGAUAAAAGGUACUCCGGGGAUAACAGGCUGAUUCCGCCCAAGAGUUCAUAUCGACGGCGGAGUUUGGCACCUCGAUGUCGGCUCAUCACAUCCUGGGGCUGUAGUCGGUCCCAAGGGUAUGGCUGUUCGCCAUUUAAAGUGGUACGUGAGCUGGGUUUAAAACGUCGUGAGACAGUUUGGUCCCUAUCUGCAGUGGGCGUUGGAAGUUUGACAGGGGCUACUCCUAGUACGAGAGGACCGGAGUGGACGAACCUCUGGUGUACCGGUUGUCACGCCAGUGGCAUCGCCGGGUAGCUAAGUUCGGGAAGGAUAAGCGCUGAAAGCAUCUAAGCGCGAAACCUGCCUGGAGAUGAGACUUCCCUUGUGGUAUAACCACACUAAAGAGUCGUUCUAGACCAGGACGUUGAUAGGUGGGGUGUGGAAGCGCGGCAACGCGUGCAGCUAACCCAUACUAAUUGCUCGUGAGGCUUGACUCUAU
rnacentral:rRNA from 2 species